UACAGAGGGUGCAAGCGUUGUUCGGAAUUAUUGGGCGUAAAGGGCGCGUAGGCGGUGCGGUAAGUCUGUAGUGAAAUCUCUGGGCUCAACUCAGAGUCUGCUAUAGAAACUGCCGUGCUUGAGUGUGGGAGAGGUGAGUGGAAUUCCCGGUGUAGCGGUGAAUGCGUAGAUAGUCGGGAGGAACACCUGUGGCGAAAGCGGCUCACUGGACCACAACUGACGGCUGAGGCGCGAAAGCUAGGGGAGCAACAGG
rnacentral:rRNA from 1 species